rnacentral:lncRNA from 1 species
GACGGAUGAGUACGCUCUUACUCGAGUCAUAACCACUCAUGCUGAGGUGAAUAUGAAACCGAUAAAGGAGAUAUACUACAAGAGAAACAGCGUGCCUCUGGAACGUGCCAUUAAAAAGGACACCACUGGAGACUAUGAGGACUUCUUGCAUUGAUAGGAGAGGAUGCCUAAGCUUUCUUGAGGUUCAGUACCUGGCAUCUUGGUAACCCCGUUUAUACCAUCAUGUCCCUUUUGUGUGUGGGAAUAAUGUCUUGGUUUGCCUCAGCGGGAGUGUUGGCUUGUUUUAGGUCUUAUGACAUGCCAAGGUGCAAAUAAUGUGUCUNNNNNNNNNNNNNNNNNNNNGGUGAGGGUCACCCCUCCCUGUCGGUCUUAUCCCUUCGUUUUUAUUUCUUUUUUUUUAAAUAUGAUAACAGCACUGCCCACAGUGAAAUUUGGGCCCAACCCUUAACUGGGCCAAUUUCUUAUUGGGCCUAGUAGGUUCUGGGCCCGGACAUUACAGUUUAUGCAUGGAUUGGAAGAUGAUUAUGUAUUGUGUCCGGAUUUCGAACUCUAGUUUUUAUGCCGUGAUGUUUUCUUUCUCCUCAGAAUUGAAGGAAAAAAAACCAAAAAGAUUUGAUUUUUCACUUUGGUUUUGGUUUCUUGGUCGUUUUUAGGAGGGUAAUUAAAAGGAAGGUAGUUAAAAAAUAAAAUAAAUGGUUGCUUAUCCGCACGCAUCAAGGUUUCUAUAAUUCGGUGUCCCGAAGGGUCACCAUUAUUAGCCAUUACGAUAUACCGGAUAUAAAAGGACUAUUUUUUGAAUAAUAAUACAACAUCUAUUAAUGAUGCCAUUAUUGAUCAUUAAAACAGGAAAUAAUGGAUGAUAAUAGUAAAAUAACAUCAUUAUUUGACAAAAUAACAGCUCAGUGUAACUUAAGUAGUACCUUAUUUAAUUCAUGGUGGAAAGAUUACAUAAUGGUUGUUAAUUAUAUUAUAUAAUGGACCCCUGAGAAUAUUAGUGCCAUUAUACUGAUUCGCAAUCUCGGGGACCUUCAAAGACAUUAGACGCUGACAUCGUGCCUCUCAUCAUGUUUUGUUAAAUUGAGGUCUACAGUAGUUUCAUUGUGGUUUAGAUUCAUGGCAAGUAUUUUUUUAGUGUUUGAUGCCAUUUUAUUUUCCUUAUGAUCUUAUUAUUUUACGGGAGGAGGUAGAGCUUGAGAAGUUUUCAGAACAAUUUUACUUCUGAUUUUACUUGGUGAAUUAUUGAGCAAUGCUUGUUAUGUCCAGCUUCUUGUGCCACUCGUAAGCUCAUACCGUUAUGAGGGUCUUGAAGUGAAUGCGUCACUGGCGAAGUCAGAGGCUAAGGUGCUGCAUGAAAAGAUAAACGACAAGGAUUAUGGCCAUGAAGAAAUCAUUAGAAUUCUAACUACAAGAAGCAAAGCACAACUACUUGCAACGUUCAAUGAUUACAACAAUGAAUUUGGUCAUCCAAUUAACAAGGUACUUACAACUGUUAAAAUAUUAAAAUUAUCUUUUUCUAUAUUAUGGUUUAUAUUUAUGCUCUGUUUUCAUGGACUCUAACAUGUAAGAAAUAAGAAUAAGUCAUGUCACUGAGGUCCAAUACUUGUGCUGGCUGAGAUUUGUCUUAACUGACUUGCCCAUAGACAGAACAACACAUGGGAAGCCUCUAUUUGGGGCCUAUAUGCCUUUUAUUAAUUCUUGAUUUCUCAAAUUUAUUCUGAAUUUUCUUAGGUCCUGCAAUUUCUUCUCUCACCGGCGCACCCACACAUAUUUCACUUCCUUUUUUAAACUUUAUGCAUUCUUCACCUUAAGAAUCCAGUUAUAUUUCUUUCUUUGAGAAAAUAUGGUGGGAAUGCCAGCUUCAGGGUUCUGGGACCUCUCUCCCUAGUUCAUGCACUGAGGACAGAGGUGCAGACCGGCGGACUAGCAUAAGUCCAGUUAUAUUUAUAUAUAUGGCUAUCAUAUUACAGCUUUAAAUUCUAAAAUUGCAAUUGUAGUACCAUUUUAUGUACUUCAUUAAUAUUCCAUUAGAUUUAUCUUAGUACCAUGAAGACUUCGACCUAUUGCUCCGGAUCCCCAUUUACUAGGAAGACAAGAAUCAAAAGGAUCGAACUACCUACUCAUUAUUCGGAGGUGAAUCAUAGAACACCAAAAGCUUUGGUAGAUUAUGGACCUAACAUCGGUCACAUCCCUCACGACAUAAGAACCUUGUAGAUUUUGUGAAUGCUGAAACCUCUUUCUUGCCUGAUGUUUCCAACACAUAAUGCCACUCUUCGCCUUAAAUUACACAUACCAUUAUUGCCCGAUUAUCACCAAAUUUAAUUUGAUAAUUGCAGUCAAAAUAGGAAGAAAAACCUUCUCCUUUUCAGUGGGAAUAUAAACAAAAGUAGGUGGGCAAAAGCUACAAUGCACCUAAAGAUGAAAUAUGCAACUGAACUCAGAUUGCUGAUUUAAACCUAUACUGUUUCUUGCAUUCUCAGGACUUGAAGGCUGAUCCUAAGGAUGACUUCCUCUCUGCACUGAGGAGCAUCGUACGUUGCAUCAUUUGCCCUGAAAGAUAUCUUGAGAAGGUCAUCCGGCUUGCAAUCAACAAAGUGGGGACGGAUGAGUACGCUCUUACUCGAGUCAUAACCACUCAUGCUGAGGUGAAUAUGAAACCGAUAAAGGAGAUAUACUACAAGAGAAACAGCGUGCCUCUGGAACGUGCCAUUAAAAAGGACACCACUGGAGACUAUGAGGACUUCCUUCUUGCAUUGAUAGGAGAGGAUGCCUAAGCUUUCUUGAGGUUCAGUACCUGGCAUCUUGGUAACCCCGUUUAUACCAUCAUGUCCCUUUUGUGUGUGGGAAUAAUGUCUUGGUUUGCCUCAGCGGGAGUGUUGGCUUGUUUUAGGUCUUAUGACAUGCCAAGGUGCNNN